AAGAGAUUCGCAGCCUCUAGCCCACGGUUCAUUGCACGGCCUUCAACUCCGGCAAUGUGGUUGCCUCGGCGCUGACAUUUGGCUCUGAUUUUGGGGCAUGGCCUUGGGUUCCAUCGCUCGCACACAGAAUCUCUAGGUCAGGCCAUCAACAGCCAAGUCAAGAGCUAAGUAUGGUUACACGUAUUGCUCAAUCCUUGCAAAUUUCUCAAUCCUAGCAAAGCCUUGGUUUCCCUCAAGACUUCUCGAACAUGACAGCUUGGUCCUGCCUGAAGGACUCACAUUUUAGGCAGAAUAAACAGAAGAAAGAUGAACACUGCAUGGUAGCUUCGAUUAUCGCGGCUUUGGAACCUUCUAAACGUAGGAGGGGUGGUUCGGUUCCAGGACAUAAAUUUAAGCGUCGCAAUAGAGAAGCAGCUUUUGCACAAAUCAUGAUGGAUUACUUUGUUGAUAAUCCUUUGUACAGCGAAGAGGACUUUCGGCGACGAUUUAGAAUGAGGAAGUCCUUAUUCCUUGACAUGGUCCGCAAGAUUACCCAGAAG